CCUACGGGGGGCUGCAGUGGGGAAUAUUGCACAAUGGGGGAAACCCUGAUGCAGCAACGCCGCGUGAAGGAAGACGGUUUUCGGAUUGUAAACUUCUAUCAAUAGGGACGAAAAAAAUGACGGUACCUAAAUAAGAAGCCCCGGCUAACUACGUGCCAGCAGCCGCGGUAAUACGUAGGGGGCAAGCGUUAUCCGGAAUUACUGGGUGUAAAGGGUGAGUAGGCGGCAUGACAAGUAAGAUGUGAAAGCCCGCAGCUUAACUGCGGGAUUGCAUUUUAAACUGUUGAGCUAGAGUGCAGGAGAGGAAAGCGGAAUUCCCAGUGUAGCGGUGAAAUGCGUAGAUAUUGGGAAGAACACCAGUGGCGAAGGCGGCUUUCUGGACUGAAACUGACGCUGAGGCACGAAAGCGUGGGGAGCGAACAGGCUUAGAUACCCCAGUAGUC
rnacentral:rRNA from 1 species